GACGAACGCUGGCGGCGUGCUUAACACAUGCAAGUCGAGCGGUAAGGCCCUUUCGGGGGUACACGAGCGGCGAACGGGUGAGUAACACGUGGGUGACCUGCCCUCAGCUCUGGGAUAAGCCUGGGAAACUGGGUCUAAUACUGGAUAUGACUCCACGGUGCAUGUCGUGGGGUGGAAAGCCUUGUGCGGCUGAGGAUGGGCCCGCGGCCUAUCAGCUUGUUGGUGGGGUGANGGCCUACCAAGGCGACGACGGGUAGCCGGCCUGAGAGGGCGACCGGCCACACUGGGACUGAGACACGGCCCAGACUCCUACGGGAGGCAGCAGUGGGGAAUCUUGCGCAAUGGGCGAAAGCCUGACGCAGCGACGCCGCGUGAGGGAUGACGGCCUGGUUGU
rnacentral:rRNA from 1 species